ACGGAAGGCAGCAGUGGGGAAUAUUGCACAAUGGGCGAAAGCCUGAUGCAGCGACGCCGCGUGAGUGAAGAAGUUAUUCGUAAUGUAAAGCUCUAUCAGCAGGGAAGAAAAUGACGGUACCUGACUAAGAAGCCCCGGCUAACUACGUGCCAGCAGCCGCGGUAAUACGUAGGGGGCAAGCGUUAUCCGGAUUUACUGGGUGUAAAGGGAGCGUAGACGGCAAAGCAAGUCUGAAGUGAAAUCCCGGGGCUCAACCCUGGAACUGCUUUGGAAACUGUUUAGCUAGAGUGCAGGAGAGGUAAGUGGAAUUCCUAGUGUAGCGGUGAAAUGCGUAGAUAUUAGGAGGAACACCAGUGGCGAAGGCGGCUUACUGGACUGUAACUGACGUUGAGGCUCGAAAGCGUGGGGAGCAAACAGGAUUAGAUACCCUGGUA
rnacentral:rRNA from 1 species